rnacentral:rRNA from 1 species
AUUGAACGCUGGCGGCAUGCCUUACACAUGCAAGUCGAACGGUAACAGGUCUUCGGAUGCUGACGAGUGGCGAACGGGUGAGUAAUACAUUGGAACGUGCCCGAGAGUGGGGGAUAACGGGGCGAAAGCUUUGCUAAUACCGCAUACGAUCUCAGGAUGAAAGCAGGGGACCGCAAGGCCUUGCGCACACGGAGCGGCCGAUGGCAGAUUAGGUAGUUGGUGGGAUAAAAGCUUACCAAGCCGACGAUCUGUAGCUGGUCUGAGAGGACGACCAGCCACACUGGGACUGAGACACGGCCCAGACUCCUACGGGAGGCAGCAGUGGGGAAUUUUGGACAAUGGGCGCAAGCCUGAUCCAGCCAUGCCGCGUGCAGGAUGGAGGCCUUCGGGUUGUAAACUGCUUUUGUACGGAACGAAAAGACUUCUUCUAAUAAAGGGGGUCCAUGACGGUACCGUAAGAAUAAGCACCGGCUAACUACGUGCCAGCCGCCGCCGUAAUAC